rnacentral:rRNA from 1 species
UAGCUACAGGCUUAACACAUGCAAGUCGAGGGGAAACGACAUCGAAAGCUUGCUUUUGAUGGGCGUCGACCGGCGCACGGGUGAGUAACGCGUAUCCAACCUGCCCAUCACUUGGGGAUAACCUUGCGAAAGUAAGACUAAUACCCAAUGACGUCUCUAGAAGACAUCUGAAAGGGAUUAAAGAUUUAUCGGUGAUGGAUGGGGAUGCGUCUGAUUAGCUUGUUGGCGGGGUAACGGCCCACCAAGGCGACGAUCAGUAGGGGUUCUGAGAGGAAGGUCCCCCACAUUGGAACUGAGACACGGUCCAAACUCCUACGGGAGGCAGCAGUGAGGAAUAUUGGUCAAUGGGCGAGAGCCUGAACCAGCCAAGUAGCGUGCAGGAUGACGGCCCUAUGGGUUGUAAACUGCUUUUAUAAGGGAAUAAAGUGAGUCUCGUGAGACUUUUUGCAUGUACCUUAUGAAUAAGGACCGGCUAAUUCCGUGCCAGCAGCCGCGGUAAUACGGAAGGUCCGGGCGUUAUCCGGAUUUAUUGGGUUUAAAGGGAGCGUAGGCCGGAGAUUAAGCGUGUUGUGAAAUGUAGACGCUCAACGUCUGCACUGCAGCGCGAACUGGUUUCCUUGAGUACGCACAAAGUGGGCGGAAUUCGUGGUGUAGCGGUGAAAUGCUUAGAUAUCACGAAGAACUCCGAUUGCGAAGGCAGCUCACUGGAGCGCAACUGACGCUGAAGCUCGAAAGUGCGGGUAUCGAACAGGAUUAGAUACCCUGGUAGUCCGCACGGUAAACGAUGGAUCCCCGCUGUUGGUCUGAAUAGGUCAGCGGCCAAGCGAAAGCAUUAAGCAUCCCACCUGGGGAGUACGCCGGCAACGGUGAAACUCAAAGGAAUUGACGGGGGCCCGCACAAGCGGAGGAACAUGUGGUUUAAUUCGAUGAUACGCGAGGAACCUUACCCGGGCUUGAAUUGCAGAGGAAGGAUUUGGAGACAAUGACGCCCUUCGGGGCCUCUGUGAAGGUGCUGCAUGGUUGUCGUCAGCUCGUGCCGUGAGGUGUCGGCUUAAGUGCCAUAACGAGCGCAACCCCUCUCCUUAGUUGCCAUCAGGUCAAGCUGGGCACUCUGGGGACACUGUCACCGUAAGGUGUGAGGAA